rnacentral:sRNA from 1 species
GAUAUUAGAUAUGCCAUUGCUAUCAUUUCAAAGCACUAGGAAGUUGUGUGCCGCAUAAAGCUGCCCAGGGACGCUUCCAUCUCUAGAGGGGCGAAACUGUCUUUAAUCUUCCCCAGGAUAUCAUCUGUUUAUAUUCCCAAACAUCAGUGGAUUGUGCCAAAGCAACAGAACUUCCCUUGGAAAACGACCCUCUAUAUGGCCAUACCAGGGUCAGUAACAUAGAGGGUUUCCCUAAAGGAAACGAUGAAACUCCUAUGACGAUCCACCCUCAUGUCGCCAGCAACACCACGGUCAUCACCACCGCAAAUUUUCAAGCCUGAAUAACCUAUGCCUAAUUCCUCCCAAA